CCUACGGGCGGCUGCAGUCGGGAAUAUUGCGCAAUGGAGGAAACUCUGACGCAGUGACGCCGCGUGCAGGAAGAAGGUUUUCGGAUUGUAAACUGCUUUAGACAGGGAAGAAACAAGACAGUACCUGUAAAAUAAGCUCCGGCUAACUACGUGCCAGCAGCCGCGGUAAUACGUAGGGAGCAAGCGUUAUCCGGAUUUAUUGGGUGUAAAGGGUGCGCAGGCGGAGGUGCAAGUCAGUGGUCAAAUUGCGGGGCUCAACCCCGUACUGCCGUUGAAACUGCAUCCCUUGAGUGCGCGAGAAGUAUGCGGAAUGCGUGGUGUAGCGGUGAAAUGCAUAGAUAUCACGCAGAACUCCGAUUGCGAAGGCAGCAUACCGGCGCGCAACUGACGCUCAUGCACGAAAGCGUGGGUAUCGAACAGGAUUAGAUACCCUUGUAGUC
rnacentral:rRNA from 1 species